AGAGUUUGAUCCUGGCUCAGGAUGAACGCUGGCGGCGUGCUUAACACAUGCAAGUCGAACGAACCUUCGGGUUAGUGGCGGACGGGUGAGUAACGCGUGAGAAUCUGCCCUCAGGAGGGGGAUAACAGUUGGAAACGACUGCUAAUACCCCAUAUGCCGAGAGGUGAAAUGAAUUUCGCCUGGGGAUGAGCUCGCGUCUGAUUAGCUUGUUGGUGGGGUAAUAGCCUACCAAGGCUUCGAUCAGUAGCUGGUCUGAGAGGACGAUCAGCCACACUGGGACUGAGACACGGCCCAGACUCCUACGGAAGGCAGCAGUGGGGAAUUUUCCGCAAUGGGCGAAAGCCUGACGGAGCAACGCCGCGUGAGGGAUGGAGGCCUUUGGGCUGUAAACCUCUUUUCUCAAGGAAGAAGAUCUGACGGUACUUGAGGAAUAAGCCACGGCUAAUUCCGUGCCAGCAGCCGCGGUAAUACGGGAGUGGCAAGCGUUAUCCGGAAUUAUUGGGCGUAAAGCGUCCGCAGGCGGCCGUUUAAGUCUGUUGUUAAAUCGUGGAGCUCAACUCCAUCACGGCAAUGGAAGCUGUUCGGCUUGAGUAUGGUAGGGGCAGAGGGAAUUUCCGGUGUAGCGGUGAAAUGCGUAGAUAUCGGGAAGAACACCAGUGGCGAAAGCGCUCUGCUGGGCCAUUACUGACGCUCAUGGACGAAAGCCAGGGGAGCGAAAGGGAUUAGAUACCCCUGUAGUCCUGGCCGUAAACGAUGAACACUAGAUGUUGGGGGAAUCGACCCCCUCGGUGUCGUAGCUAACGCGUUAAGUGUUCCGCCUGGGGAGUACGCACGCAAGUGUGAAACUCAAAGGAAUUGACGGGGGCCCGCACAAGCGGUGGAGUAUGUGGUUUAAUUCGAUGCAACGCGAAGAACCUUACCAAGGCUUGACAUCCUGCGAAUCUCUAAGAAAUUAGAGAGUGCCUUCGGGAACGCAGUGACAGGUGGUGCAUGGCUGUCGUCAGCUCGUGUCGUGAGAUGUUGGGUUAAGUCCCGCAACGAGCGCAACCCACGUUUUUAGUUGCCAGCAUUCAGUUGGGCACUCUAGAAAGACUGCCGGUGACAAACCGGAGGAAGGUGUGGACGACGUCAAGUCAUCAUGCCCCUUACGCCUUGGGCUACACACGUACUACAAUGCUGCGGACAAAGAGUAGCGAUCUUGCGAAAGUUAGCUAAUCUCAUAAACCGUGGCUCAGUUCAGAUCGUAGGCUGCAACUCGCCUACGUGAAGGAGGAAUCGCUAGUAAUCGCAGGUCAGCAUACUGCGGUGAAUACGUUCCCGGGCCUUGUACACACCGCCCGUCACACCAUGGAAGUUGGCCAUGCCCGAAGUCGUUACUCUAACCUUUUGGAAGAGGGCGCCGAAGGCAGGGCUAAUGACUGGGGUGAAGUCGUAACAAGGUAACC
rnacentral:rRNA from 1 species